UACGUAGGGUGCGAGCGCUAAUCGGAAUUACUGGGCGUAAAGCGUGCGCAGGCGGUUUCACAAGCUCGAUGUGAAAGCCCCGGGCUUAACCUGGGAAUGGCAUUGAGGACUGUGGAGCUCGAGUGCGGCAGAGGGAGGUGGAAUUCCACGUGUAGCAGUGAAAUGCGUAGAGAUGUGGAGGAACACCGAUGGCGAAGGCAGCCUCCUGGGCCGACACUGACGCUCAUGCACGAAAGCGUGGGGAGCAAACAGG
rnacentral:rRNA from 1 species